CUCGUGGUGGUCUUGACACUGACGCUGGUUGUAUAUAGUGGACUACAAUCAUACAACCCUUCCCUUUACUCAGCCACAACAGCAACGGUCGUUUCAUAGACCCUCAGCAGUCGUAAAUUAAAUUCCAUAAGGCUCAACGUGAAGAAUUACAGGUUUUGGCUGUGGUCCGCCCUUGAGGAGCCGUGUCUGGAACAUUUAUCGCCUUUGAUCUCAUCAUGAAGGAUCAUCCGGAUGAGAGAGAACCUUGAAGCUUACCAGACCUUUCAUAAUGAAGGAGUUCUCGCCAAGUGCCACCAAGUACAUGUGGCAAGAAACUAUGAACAUGUCUGGGCUGUAGAAGCCAUAAUGGGACGUGGUGACAGGGGCAGACGGGGGCGUAGGAGAGGCUAUGGCUCCACUGGGUUUGAGGAAGCUGGGGGUUACAUGGCAGUUAAAAUUGCUAAGCUACAGAAUCAGUACAAGACCUCUGUCACAACAACUGUUGGUGAAGACAAUCAAGGAGUAUUUAAAGGUGUUGCAAUCUUUGUGAAUGGGUAUACAGAACCAACAGCAGAAGAGUUGAAACGCAUAAUGAUGACUAAUGGCGGCACUUAUCACCACUACUAUUCUCGCAGUAACACCACCCACAUCAUCGCCAGUAACCUUCCAGAUACUAAAAUAAAGAACUUGAACACAAGUAAGAUUGUAAGUCCAAAGUGGAUUACAGAGUCACUGGAAGCUGGACAUCUGCUGGACUACACUAAGUAUAUUCUCUACACUCAUCAAUCCACAAGUCAACCCAAACUGUCUUUUAAACCAUCAUCCUUAACAAAAGGCAAGGAUGAUUCAAGUAUUGGAAAUUUAGUCACAGUACGUAGCUCAGUAGAAAACACACUUGCAGGUAAUGGCGCAGUCUGUCGAGAAAUCAGCAAAGAGACAUCAUUGGUUGAGCCAGUGCACUUAGACACGGUAUUAAGCAGUAGCAAAACAAACUCGUGUUUAACUACUCAAAAUAUGAGUAGUGAUGAAAGGCAUAAACAUUCUAGUAUGACUGCAUUACAUAUUUCUAGCCCAACAAAAGAUCACUCUAUGAGCACUGCAAACCCAGGAUUUCUCUCUGAAUUCUAUAACAAUUCAAGGCUUCACCAUAUCUCAACAAUGGGAGCCAUGUUUAAGCAAUAUAUAAAUGAGCUACAGAGUAAAGAGGAAGGUUUUCCUGGACGAAGAAAUUUAAUCGAGUGGAUAAAAAAUAAAAGUGGAGAAAAUAAUUUAUCUAGUGUAUAUUCUGCUGAAGAUUUUACAACAGGAAAAAAUUCUGUGUCUGUUAUAAAGAAAAGAAAAAGAACUAUUAUGCAUAUUGACAUGGACUGUUUCUUUGUGUCUGUGGGUCUCCGUAAGCAUCCAGAGUUACGUGGCAAACCUCUAGCUGUGACACAUGCACGGGGUAACCAGAGAUCUCACGGACGAGAAGGAAUGGAUAGGCAGUAUGAGUUUAACUACUAUAAGGACCGAGCUAAAAAACGACUACAAAGAAAAAUGCAGCCAAUGGCUGCUGCCAAAUCGGGAAAAUUUGAUGGAGAAUUUGAAUAUUUUGAUGACGAAAAUAAUGAGGUGAACCCGAGUACGGGCAGUGUAGUGGUUCCUGCGUCUAAUACAAAGUUCUCAACAGUGACUUCAAUUGAUGAUACAAGCUCGUUGUCAGAAAUUGCAUCAUGUAGCUAUGAAGCGCGUAAAGCUGGUGUGAAAAAUGGCAUGUUUCUUGGGCCAGCACUGAAGCUGUGUCCUGACCUUCAGACAAUACCCUAUGAUUUUGAUGGAUACAAAGAAGUUUCAUUCAAACUCUAUGACAUUGUUGCCAGUUUUACGCAUGAUAUAGAAGCGGUUAGCUGUGAUGAAAUGUAUGUUGAUUUAACGGAACUGCUUCAAACCUGCCAGGUCACACCUGAAGACUUUGCAACUUAUCUUCGGGAUAAAGUACAGGCAGACACAGGUUGUCCAUGCUCAGCUGGUAUGGGACCCAACAUGCUGGUGGCCCGCAUGGCUACUCGACUAGCUAAACCCAAUGGCCAGCACCUGGCAGAUCCUGAUGACUUGCCUUACUACAUGAAGGAUCAGAAGGUCUCUGGUCUACCAGGUGUUGGCUGGUCCCUUGAAAGCCGUCUGCAAAGUGAAGGAAUACAAACUUGUGGGGACUUGCAGGCUAAAACUCUUGGUCACUUGCAAGCUGCUUUUGGGGCACGAACAGGCCUGUCCCUAUUUAACUACUGUCGAGGAAUUGAUGAUCGUCCAGUAAAGAGUGAGCAUGUGAGAAAAUCAGUUUCUGCUGAAGUGAAUUACGGAAUCCGGUUCACCUGCCAGAGUGAUGCCGACAAGUUCAUCAGAGAGUUGGCUGCUGAAGUGGAGAAUAGACUUAAUGCUAUUAAACUGAAGGGCAAAUGCAUCACACUCAAGCUCAAGAUACGUGCAAAGGAUGCCCCUGUAGAAACAGCAAAGUUUAUGGGACAUGGUGUUUGUGACAACAUUACCAAGUCUGUCUCGGUAGCCUCUGCAACUUCUACUGCGGCUGUCAUAGAAAGAGAGGCAUUAUCUUUACUUCACCAAGUGAAAGUUCCGCCACAGGACUUCAGGGGCGUUGGUAUUCAGGUGUCACGUCUGGAGGGACACCAAGGACAGUCAGGUGGCUCUGGAUCUUGUGGUGGAUCUUCUAUUAAAAGCUUUUUGUUAGCAGGCAAGAACUGUAUCAAGAAAAAGGCCAUUAACCCCAAUACCAAUCCACUUAAUUCUUUAGAAACUAAUCAAUCACCAUCUUUAGAAGAAAAUGGGCUUUCACAUAUCAAUAUGAACACAAAUAAUAAUGUGUGCUCAGUUGCACAGAGCUCCAUGUUUCAAUUUACGAAAGAAAAAUGCUACUCAAAAAAUGGUACGGCACAACCAGGACCAAGUAUGGAUCAGCCUGCACCAGCAUCGUCAACAAGCAAAAGUGUGUCUGCACAGAAAAACAACAUAGACCUAGAAGUUCUCAUGGCUCUCCCUGAUGACAUGAGAGAGCAAGUAAUAGCCGAGUAUCGCCAGCAAGGCUACAUCAUCCCGUCAGUCGGUGAUAGUGUUGAACAUAAACCUGAGGUAAUGGAUGGUGAACCUAAACCAAGCACAUCGGGCUAUGUGGCUCCGGUUAAAAAAUCUGGGAAACGAGAAUCCGAAACUAGCACACACGGCUAUGCAAAGAUGUCCACGAAUCAAGGGAAAGGUACUUCAAAAUUAAAUAUUGGUAAAUUAAAUGGAGGAAAUGAUUUUGAAAUUAGUAAGGAAAGUGAAGGCAGUACAAAGCAAGGAAACAAGAACUUCAAUGGCACAGUCUCCAGUGAUAACACAAUUGCUAGAGAGAGAGCUGGUGAGAAUACAGAUGGUAAAAGUAACUCUUCAACAGUUUCAGAAGAUGCACAAAAUGAAGCAUUAAUUACCAGCUUUUCUCAGGUGGAUACAAGUUUCCUUGAAGCCAUACCUGAAGAUCUGAGGGAAGAACUCCGCCAGGACUUUGAGCACAAAAAGCAAGCUGGAGCAAUGGCAUCAUUAUCACCAAAUAAACAGCGGCCUCAAAGGACAGGACCAGCGGGUGAUGGAGGUUCACUUGGGAAGAGGGAGAGCAGAGAUCCUCACCAGGCAGGAGCAGGAGGACUGAUGACCCUUAUGCAUCCCGGGUCACGACAGCAGCCGGCUCAUGCACACACUGCCAGUCAUUCUGGAAAUUCAUCUACAAGGAAAGUUCCCUUGGCACCUGGUAAAAAGAGGAAUAAACUGAGCAAGGCCAAAAUGCCAGGAGUCAACACAUCGCCAAGAAAACGGUACCCUCUCCUGAGAACAUCAGGGAGCCAGCUAACGCCAGAGAACACAAAUGUAAACGAAGAGUCUGUUGCGUCGAGUACGCUGUCAACGUUAGGGGAAGGAAAUUCAAAAGAAACAAGGGUUGAUGCUGAUAAGGAUAUUCCCAACCUUUGUGGAGUUGAGGAGAUGUCUGAAGUGAAGUCAUUAAUCCGUGAGUGGGUAUCAUCAUGUUCACAUCCGGAGGAAGAGGAUGCUGAAAUAUUGGCAUGCUUCUACACUAGCCUCAUCAGUCACCAUGAUCUUGAAAAGCUAGAUGUCCUUAUGAAGUACCUUUACAGGCAAGUUCUUAGACGACAAAAUGAAUUUUGGGAGUCGGCAUACAGAACUGUGGUUGGAAUAGUUCAGGGUGCCAUGCUGGAACACCACGAUGUCAAGCUCAAGGUUCUUCAUUUGUGACACAUUGCACUGCAUUUCCAAUGUGAUUAACAAUUUUAUAGUGAUAUAUAUAUAUAAGGAAGCCAUCAGGGAUGAUUUCUGUCACCGGGCUUGAGGAUGUCAGAAGCAGUAGAUUUGGAGGACGCCGGCCAGCAGGUCCACACAGCUGAGCGACGCCGGCCAGCAGGUCCACACAGCUGAGCGACGCCGGCCAGCAGGUCCACACAGCUGAGCGACGCCGGCCAGCAGGUCCACACAGCUGAGCGACGCCGGCCAGCAGGUCCACACAGCUGAGCGACGCCGGCCAGCAGGUCCACACAGCUGAGCAACAGUCUUUGCCUCACAUUAUAUAUGUUUGUUCUUUAGUUAUUCUAUGAGAUUUUGGGUUCUAUGGGGCCAUUAGGAAUGGUUAGAGAAAUUAAAUCUCACAAACCCUAGGAGAGAGAAGAGAUAGAGGAGAUAUGACUACAACAUACGAGAUACUAAAGAAGCUGUCCUUGUCCUCUUUCUCUAUUCUCUUCAGUAUGUCGUUUGUUGUGGCCAUAUACCCCUUAUUUCUUCUCUUGAAAAUUUCUAAUUUUCUAUUUCUAUUUCUUAUAAGAGAAUAGACAAAGCCUCUUUAAGCUAAGAGAAAAAAUGACAUUAAUACAUACGAGGAAGCUGAAAAUUCAAAUUAAUCGAUUUUUUUGUUUUUAAUGAAUGCUCGUUUCCUGAACGAGUGGUCAGCAAGUGGAAUGAACUGAAAGAAGUGAUAGAAGCCACCUCCAUCCCCCAAAUAUAUGGUCAUAUACGAGAAUCAAUUCGACCAUCAAGGGUAGAUCUCUUUACGGGCUCACCAUAGCCCGUGCUACAUGGACACUUCGUUCUGAGUAGCUAAAUCUGAAACAACAACAAAAACAGGUAGAUCUCACUUCUCCGUAAUCACUGUUAGGGAAGUAGCGUUGGGUAAGCACCUCUCCUCUGUGCCCCCCUUCCUACCUACGUCCCCUCCCUAAACACCCCUCACCCCAACCUUUAGGGAGACUCCCCCACGCCCGGGGAAGUCUGAGGGGGAGCGGGGAACUUACCCCACCAACAUGAGAGUGAUCUGCUUGUUGGUUGAGCUCACACUGUCGUGAAGAGCAGUUGACUUGUCUAAAAGUUCAUUUGUUAUGCCUCCCAUACCCAUCCUGUGAUGCGUAACUGGCCUGAAAGGAGCGUACAAGCGGCAUUACAUACAGGCGUAUAGCUCCUGCCAAACACACACCGAAAC
rnacentral:misc_RNA from 1 species